AAUUUUUUGGAAGAAUUUUUAUAUUUACAAAAAAGAAGUUGAUGGCUGAGAAAAGUUAUCAUAAUUAGCACAGUCUGCAAAGUUCAAUCUGAAUAAAGACGGAAUCUAAAUAAUAAUAAAUAAUAAAGGUUCGAGAGAGGGGAUAGAUAGUUAUGAAGAACUAUGGAUACUUGGAUUAAAGUAAUGACAAUAAAGGUCAUGUUAAAGCAUCGUAACUUCAAUCUG